UACGGAGGGUGCGAGCGUUGUCCGGAAUCACUGGGCGUAAAGGGCGCGUAGGCGGCUUGGCAAGUCAGUGGUGAAAGCCCGAGGCUCAACUUCGGGUCGGCCACUGAUACUGCUAGGCUUGAGUCGACUAGAGGCAGAUGGAAUUCCGGGUGUAGCGGUGGAAUGCGUAGAGAUCCGGAAGAACACCGGUGGCGAAGGCGGUCUGCUGGGGUCGAACUGACGCUGAGGCGCGACAGCGUGGGGAGCAAACAGG
rnacentral:rRNA from 2 species